UUACUUAAUAUACACAUGCAAGUCUCCGNCACCCCUGUGAAAACGCCCUUNAAAUCCCUCUNAAGGGAUAAGGAGCUGGUAUUAGGCACNAAGAAUAAGCCCAAGAUACCUAGCUAUGCCACACCUACACGGGAUUUNCAGCAGUGAUUAACAUUGAACAUAGGCGACNAGCCUGAAUCAGUUNAAAGUAAACAGAGCCNGGCAAAUCUGGUGCCAGCCGCCGCGGUUACACCACGUGGCUCAAACUGANUCCCCUCCGGCGUAAAGCGUGAUUNAAAGNUUAACCUCCUGCUGCAAUUAAACUAGAAUUAAGCUGUGACACGCUUAUNUCCCAUGAAACCCAUAANACGUAAGUCAUUGCANNACUCAACAACUUGAACUCACGACAGCUAGGNGAACAAACUGGGAUUAGAUACCCCACUAUGCCUAGCCGUAAACUUUUACCUACACCCAAAUNNNNNNCGCCGGGGAACUACGAGCAAAGCUUAAAACCCAAAGGACUUGACGGUACCCCAUAUCCACCUAGAGGAGCCUGUCCUGUAAUCGAUAACCCCCGCUUAACCUCACCAUUUUUAGCAUAUCAGCCUGUAUACCUCCGUCGUCAGCUUACCUCGUGAGCGCCAANUUAGUGAGCUUAAUGCCCNNNNNNNNUUACGCCAAUACGUCAGGUCAAGGUGCAGCAUAUAAAAUGGGAAGAGAUGGGCUACACUGUCUAAAAUAGACCAUACGAAAGACUAUUUAUGAAANCCUAGUCAGAAGGCGGAUUUAGAAGUAAAAAAAGACCAAAGAGCUUUAUUUAACUUNGGCACUGGGGUGUGUACACACCGCCCGUCANCCCUCUUNCAAAGUCUUACCCCANGUCUUUNAACACNACUUAGACACCUCAGAAGANGGCANAGUC
rnacentral:ncRNA from 1 species